CUCUCUCAAUCUUUCAAUCAUCGUUCCUUUCCUCAUUCAAAACCCUAAUCACCGAAUCGGCUACUCAGGAGUUCAAUCGACCCUGUGCAACAACGUUUAAUCAAUUUUCAAUACUCAAUAGUGAACAUAGACGGUCUGAUUCGGUUUCAUCUUUGUCACACUAUGAUUCAGCAUUUUUUAAUCAAGGUAGGGUUUUUUUUUGUUGGUGGUGUUUUUUUAUUUGAACGCAGAAGAAGAAUGAAGGUGUGCUUGGGUGACGGCUGGAUCUGGAUGUUAUUUAGGGUUUUGCUUGAAGUUUGCAGGGAAGCAACGGACUGGAACAAUCAAAUAAGAAGGCAAAAAUUCGCAAGACAAAGAGUAAAAUGUUGAAAUAGAUGAUGUGCCGAUGUUAGUGAUGUCAAGAAGAAAAAGUCAAAUGAGAAAGAAAAAGUCAAUCGAGUGAAAAAGAUAAUGGAUGGAAAGUUUUGGUAAGUUUUGUUCAUUUUUCCAAUAUUUUGUCUCAAGUCUCUGCAUUUUGGUAUUAUGUUUUUUUUUUUUGCUAUACUUGAACUAUUAAACGGGUCGAAAUGGUGAUAUGGGCAAAAGGUUACCCGUUUUGACUAGACACAUUUGGGCAUGUUACCCGACCCGACUGACCUUCCCGUUUUGCCAUCUCUAGCUAUGAGCUAUAUCUUUAAAUUCAUCUUAUGCUGCUGCUGGUUGUUUCUUGGUUAACAAAGCUCAAAGUUC